GGAGGCGGCCCUGAGAUCUAGAGGCUGGGCGCACCCGCCCCCCAACCAGCUGCAGAAAAGCUUCCACCUGCUCCCCCGAGCGAUCCCACGCCGAGGACCAGAACCGGCACCUUAGCCGCGCUCACCACUCCCACCCUCUGUCCUGGGCUGCUCGGAGGGAUGCGGUUCUGGUUGGCCGGCACCUACCUGGUGGCCUCCUCUGGCUGCCCAGGUCCGUCCACCUAGGGCAGGGGAUAACAAGAACGGCACCACGGCUGUAGUGGCCAAAUCUUUUAAGGUGACUGGCCCAGGAGAAGGAGCGACGGGAGGAGUGGGGGCCAGAGGCCCAGGCCCCACGGUGCCGGCGGCCCUGCGACCUGACGGCUGCUCAGCCUCCUCGCUCAGUCUCUGCUGGGGAGAUGAAGCCAGGCCUGCGGAAUGCUGCUCUGGCACGGACACCAGUGGGGGCAGGGGGCUGGCUGUGCUGGCGGGAGGCUACAAAGGAAGGCUGCCAGGCUGAGCCGGCAGCAGGGUGGGGACCACCGGGCGCUGGGCCUGGCAGGGCCCAGGGGGUGGCUGGGCCACUGUUGUAAAGAGGGGGCCUCUGUGGGCCUCUCCGGUGGCCAUGUCAUCAUUCAGAUGCACCACCCCCACCCCACCCCAAGUUGCCUGCGGCCCCAUGUCCUGUCACCAUCCCACUGCCCUGUCCUGGCAGUGCCACUCAGCCCCUCCCCCUCCAUCCUCACACCCACUGGUGCUUACACACGGGCCAUAGGAGUAGCCCCUGAGUGUGCCACCUGACCCACGCAUGGGCAGGGACUCGGGGGCCUGUUUGGAGUGACUCGGUUCUGAGUGCCAGGGGAAAAUGAGGCAGGGGCCACGAUCCUGGGGGGGCACCCACCUACCGUCUGGUGGUCUGUCCUGCAAGACUGAAUGGGCCUCCCCUAAGGCCAGAAUGGGGAGGCCGUUAUGACCUGGCUGUCCCAGAGCUGGGG